ACGUAGGACCCAAGCGUUAUCCGGAAUUACUGGGCGUAAAGAGUUGCGUAGGUGGCAGAGUAAGUAGGUAGUGAAAGCGUGUGGCUCAACCAUACAUCCAUUACCUAAACUGCUCAGCUUGAGCAUGAGAGAGGUAGCUGGAAUUCCUAGUGUAGGAGUGAAAUCCGUAGAUAUUAGGAGGAACACCGAUGGCGUAGGCAGGCUACUGGCUCAUUGCUGGCACUCAGGCACGAAAGCGUGGGGAGCGAACGGGU
rnacentral:rRNA from 1 species